AAGGGUAUAGCUCACUGUUAGAAUGCACGCCUAACAGGCAUGAAGUCCUGGGUUCAAUUCCCAGUAUCUCCA
rnacentral:tRNA from 1 species